GGGAUUAGCUCAUCUGGGAGAGCGCCUGAUUUGCAUUCAGGAGGUAGCAGGUUCGAUCCCUGUAUCCUCCACCAGGA
rnacentral:tRNA from 1 species